rnacentral:rRNA from 1 species
UACGUCGGGGGCUAGCGUUGUUCGGAAUUACUGGGCGUAAAGCGUACGUAGGCGGCUUUAUAAGUCAGUGUUGAAAUACUACAGCUUAACUGUGGAACUGGCAUUGAUACUGUAGAGCUUGAGUUCAGUCGAGGUAGGCGGAAUUGAUGGUGUAGCGGUGAAAUGCUUAGAUAUCAUCAAGAACAUCUAUUGCGAAGGCAGCUUGCUAGGCUGAUACUGACGCUGAGGCACGAAAGCGUGGGGAGCGAACAGG